GUGUAGCACAGUGGUAAGGAGCAGGGCUUGUAACCAAAAGGUUGCUGGUUCAAUUCCAGCUGUAUA
rnacentral:tRNA from 1 species